CUGCAUAUAAUUGCAUUAAUAGAAGGAUAGAGUUACAACACCCACAUGCAUCCCUCGGAAUAAACAGAUUACAUUCACGUCUGAUAACAAAAACACCUGUCCUCGUAGCCUAAUUACUCACUUUAUUAGGGGCUUUGAUGAAGGAAAGCCCCUUGGCUCCUGCCAGAACAUGAGAAGUUUGUGGACAAGUUGGCCUGUCGGCCGUUAACAUGAAACUAUAACGCUGUUGAAGCUGAUUGCACGUGGUCUAUUCUCGGUAGAAUGCUACAAUCUGUGCUGCGGUUUUGGCAAGUUUGGCAACAGUGAACCAAGCUGGAAUAUAUCCAUCUCAUAGACAUUGCCAGUUUCCUAGAAAGUUUGUAGGAAGGUCACAGUUCAGUAAAAUUGGUCUUAUUUUUCCUAGAAAACCAAUCACAGGAAAAGUGGAAAGUUGGGAUAACUAGAAUUAGUUAUUGUUCAAGGGCAAUGAAAUUCCUUUUAUCUGGUCCAUGACAGUUUGAUUAGAAACUGGUGAGUCGAGGCUUGCUAACACAGAUCAAGAAGAAACACCACCUCUCCUAUACUUUUGGAUAAGAGGAAAAUUAACAUUCCGCAAAAUAAGUAACCAAGAACUCCAUGCUUUGUAUCCAAAUUGCAGCGGUGACAAUUUUGCAUUAUGGGAGAACAUAAAUUACUUAUAUGGAAAGCAGAUCAAGCUCCUAGCAAACAACACCAAAGAUUGAAUCUCAGUUAUGUAUGGGUCUUCGCCGCUUUGACCGCAUGUAGUCAGUGUCCCACCACCAUGGCAGCUUCUCCUUCCUGGGUGCCCCAGCUUCUUCAUGCAACCUUGUGGCCUUUCCAAAAGCUUCACCCCAAAAUAGAAGUGGAUAGAGAAGAUGUUAGUACACAAUUGUAUCCUUGAAGAUGUGAACAGACCAAAUACGGGAGAUGGAACUCACUAACCUUGUCUUUGUUGCAGAGAAGCAACGGGAACGAGCAGGGCAGCAACUACAACAAAGCACAGAACCGUGGAAGCUCUCAUCAGGCUUCUCUGCGGCGCUUCUUCUCCCUCCGCCCUUUAGUGCUAAUCCCUCUACUGAGUCAUGUUAUCUCGUGGUAAGAGGAAGGGAUCCAACGAAGAUAAAGCAACACUAGUCUUAUACUGCUUCAGUUUUGUCUCAGUUGAAGUAGAGUAGCAGAGUAGACCUGUGAGUGCAUCCAAUGUCCUAGGGACAAAAUGUUUUUUUAGGUGUUUUGCUAUUUGUAAAAUACCUAGGGACAAAAUCUUUGUUCUGUCAAGAAUUGGUGACAGGAUCUUUGCAUAGUUCCAAAGCUGUCCCUUGUAGCUUUUGUGGGAAACCGUCUUGAUGUUAGUAGAUUUAGAUAAGUGCUUUUAUGAAUUUGGA
rnacentral:lncRNA from 1 species